CCCUUAGAUGUCCGGGGCCGCACGCGCGCUACACUGAAGGAAUCAGCGUGGCUUUCUCCCUGACCCGAAAGGGUUGGGAAACCCGUUGAAUCUCCUUCGUGAUAAGGAUUGGGGCUUGAAAUUGUUCCCCAUGAACGAGGAAUUCCCAGUAAGCGCGAGUCAUAAGCUCGCGUUGAUUACGUCCCUGCCCUUUGUACACACCGCCCGUCGCUACUACCGAUUGAACGGUUUAGUGAGGGCCUCGGAUUGGUCUCGGCCCGCUCUUUACCGGGCGGCGCCGUUGGUCGAGAAGACGCUCGAACUUGAUCGUUUAGAGGAAGUAAAAGUCGUAACA
rnacentral:rRNA from 1 species